rnacentral:tRNA from 1 species
GGCUUAUUGGUCUAGGGGUAUGACUCUCGCUUAGGGUGUGAAAGGACUUGGGUUCAAAUCCUGAAGGAGCCC